rnacentral:lncRNA from 1 species
UCAAGGGAAAAUAUAGUGUAUAUUAUCUGUUGUGUGCGACUGUAUCUUCGGUUCCCAAUCGAAUUUCCUGUGAAGUUGAAAGAUAGCAUCCUCACAACAAAUAAUUCUUCUUUUGAGAGACCGUGAUGGAGAUACGCAUUGUCCUCGGUAAACGAUGCCAAAAUCUUAUUAUUACCACAUGUAUCGACAGACAUCACUACCAAACGAGUACUUCAGAGUUCAGAAUACAACAAGCAGCAGCAGCAGCUAAUUAGAGAAAAAAUUGUGCAGGCAUGACACCUGCCACACACCAUACUACAGGGGGCAUACCAACGGUAAUAAAAGAGCUCUAUAUAACGGAGUCCUCUCCCUCCUAAUUUACCAGCUCGGAUCGGAUCUAUGCAACAAACUGCAACGGACGGUACGAUAUCAACUUGUUUCCACAAGACCCAGGUUUCGCCACGGCAGCAAGGACCGGGGUGCUCGGGUCACCAUGCCCGGCN